CACCGCCCGUCACACCAUGGGAGUUGGUUCUACCCGAAGGCGCUGCGCCAACCCGCAAGGGAGGCAGCGGCCCAAGGUAUGAUUCAUGAUUGGGGUG
rnacentral:rRNA from 1 species